rnacentral:rRNA from 1 species
CAGCCGCCGCGGUAAUACAGAGGGUGCUAGCGUUGUUCGGAAUUACUGGGCGUAAAGCGCGCGUAGGCGGUUACUCAAGUCAGAGGUGAAAGCCCGGGGCUCAACCCCGGAACUGCCUUUGAAACUAGGUGACUAGAAUCUUGGAGAGGUCAGUGGAAUUCCGAGUGUAGAGGUGAAAUUCGUAGAUAUUCGGAAGAACACCAGUGGCGAAGGCGACUGACUGGACAAGUAUUGACGCUGAGGUGCGAAAGCGUGGGGAGCAAACAGGAUUAGAUAUCCCCGUAGUCCCUGUCUCUUAUAA